rnacentral:rRNA from 1 species
GGAGUUAGCCGGUGCUUAUUCCUAAGUUACCGUCAGAGUUCUUCACUCAGAAAAGGUCUUUACACCCCUAAAGGCGUCAUCAACCACGCGGUGUUGCUCCGUCAGGCUUUUCGCCCAUUGCGGAAGAUUCCUU